rnacentral:rRNA from 1 species
AUUGAACGCUGGCGGCAGGCCUAACACAUGCAAGUCGAGCGGAUGAAGGGAGCUUGCCUCUGGAUUCAGCGGCGGACGGGUGAGUAAUGCCUAGGAAUCUGCCUGGUCGUGGGGGAUAACGUCCGGAAACGGGCGCUAAUACCGCAUACGACGUGAGGGAGAAAGUGGGGGAUCUUCGGACCUCACGCUAUCAGAUGAGCCUAGGUCGGAUUAGCUAGUUGGUGGGGUAAAGGCCUACCAAGGCGACGAUCCGUAACUGGUCUGCGAGGAUGAUCAGUCACCUGGGAACUUGGACACGGACCCUGGUCCUGCGGGAGGGACCAGUGUGGAAUAUUGGGCAAUGGUCGAGAAUCUUAUCUAGCCAGGCCGCGUGUGUGAAGGAGGUCUUCGGAUUGGAAAGCACGCUAAGUUGUUAGAAAGGGCAGUAAGUUAAUACCUUGCUGUUUUGACGUUACCAGCAGAAUAAGCACCGGCUAACUACGUG